rnacentral:lncRNA from 1 species
GGUCCGAGUGAGGCGAUCGAGGAUCGCGGUAAGGGUAUCGCACCCUAGAUAGUGGCUACUCGAGUAUAGUUCAUACCAUGUUGUUAUCAUCUUUUAUAUAUGAUGAACAAGGCUAUAAAAAUGUAUAAAUGAUAUAAAAGACUUAUGUUUUGAGAAUGAUGAUGAUCAUGUGAUGUAUAAAUGGAAGAAAAGAAUGAAUGAAUGUAAAUUAUAGUAUGCAUGUAUUUGAUUAAAUGUAAUCAUGAUACUUGUAUGGCUGUAAUAGUUGUAGAACUUUCACUUUGGUCGUUGCUUGCCUUCAUGCAAGCCAUGUAUAUUUAUGUUUUCGCUUGCACAAAAGUAUAUACAUGUUGAUACUUGUGUUGAGCCUUAGGCGGACAGGGAAGGCGCUGUCCGUUCGGCGUCUGUUGACGUGCCCGAACCGACCAAAUCGGCGGUCCCGGGGUGUGACAGCGAUUAUCAAAUGGCCACUAUUACUAUUAUCUUAUUGUACUUUAGCGACAAUUAUUUUAAAAUACAUAUUUUUAUCGACUAAUAUUUAUAUAUUAAAUAUAAUCUAACCCAAUCUCAAACCUAUCCGAACCGAACCCAACACCCUCUCUCUAUCGCGACCUCAUUCGCUCGCGAUACUAGGGCUCGCGAGUGCCCCAUUCUCUCCCU